AAGCGAGGGAAUUUUUUUUUUUUUUUUUUGAGAAAUAAACGAGGGAGGUUAAGGAGACCAAGAAAGAGAUCCUUUUGUAGAGACGCGCGAUACUGUUGGAGGUUUGUGGGUGUUGUUUUAAAAGCCGUGGCGUUACAGACUUGUCAGGAGAAGUGUCAGUAACUGAACUUGGUUUCAUUUUGACAAGGAAAGCAGAGUCCCCUAGGCCCUAGCACUAGCACCAGCUAUGUUAAGAUGAUGGCAUUGAGGGGACUUAACGAUAUUCCCAUGGCGGACCAAACAUACAAAUAAUUUACUGUUUCGGGGUUAUACCACUGUGACAACUUGGUCCAUUUCCAGAAUGAAUACAAACCCUACUAGUCUGGUUAACGCUCUAGUUCUUACCCUACAGAACCACGAUUGAAGUACCAUUCAAAUUUCGUUAAGUUUCGUUACACCGCACCACGUACCAAUAUGAACCUUACCAGGACUCAAGCGAAUUCUUCUGUAGAACUACUCGCUUUGCUUCAA
rnacentral:misc_RNA from 1 species